UCCGGUUUGGCACCGGCAGUCUCCCUAGAGUUCCCGGCAUGACCCGCUGGCAACUAGGGACAGGGGUUGCGCUCGUUGCGCCACUUAAGGCAACACCUCACGGCACGAGCUGACGACAGCCAUGCACCACCUGUGCAGGCUCCGAAGAGCGCCCGCUUUCGCGGGUUUCACCCUGCAUGUCGAGCCUUGGUAAGGUUCUUCGCGUUGCGUCGAAUUGAACCACAUGCUCCGCUGCUUGUGCGGGCCCCCGUCAAUUCCUUUGAGUUUCAGCCUUGCGGCCGUACUCCCCAGGCGGAGUGCUUAAUGCGUUAGCUGCAGCACUAAAGGGCGGAAACCCUCUAACACUUAGCACUCAUCGUUUACGGCGUGGACUAC
rnacentral:misc_RNA from 1 species